rnacentral:rRNA from 1 species
UACGAAGGGGGCUAGCGUUGUUCGGAAUUACUGGGCGUAAAGCGCGCGCAGGCGGCUAUCCAAGUCAGUGGUGAAAGCCCGGAGCUCAACUCCGGAACUGCCAUUGAAACUGUUUAGCUUGAGGACGAGAGAGGUGAGUGGAAUUCCCAGUGUAGAGGUGAAAUUCGUAGAUAUUGGGAAGAACACCGGUGGCGAAGGCGGCUCACUGGCUCGUAUCUGACGCUCAGGCGCGACAGCGUGGGGAUCGAAACAGG